GCAUUGGUGGUUCAGUGAUAAAAUUCUUGCCUUCUAUGCGUUUUGGUUGGUGGGAUGCGUGGGAGACCUGGGUUUGAUUCCCAGCCAAUGUA
rnacentral:tRNA from 1 species